GAGUUUGAUCCUGGCUCAGGAUGAACGCUAGCGGCAGGCCUAACACAUGCAAGUCGAACGGUAACAGAGAAGAGCUUGCUCUUUUGCUGACGAGUGGCGCACGGGUGCGUAACGCGUAUACAAUCUACCUUUUACAGGGGUAUAGCCUUUAGAAAUGAAGAUUAACACCCCAUAGUAAGUACUUAUGGCAUCAUAGGGACUUUAAAACUUCGGUGGUAAAAGAUGAGUAUGCGUUCUAUUAGCUAGAUGGUGUGGUAACGGCACACCAUGGCAACGAUAGAUAGGGGCCCUGAGAGGGGGAUCCCCCACACUGGUACUGAGACACGGACCAGACUCCUACGGGAGGCAGCAGUGAGGAAUAUUGGACAAUGGGCGAGAGCCUGAUCCAGCCAUGCCGCGUGCAGGAAGACUGCCCUAUGGGUUGUAAACUGCUUUUAUAUGGGAAGAAACCCACCUACGUGUAGGUGGCUGACGGUACCAUAAGAAUAAGGAUCGGCUAACUCCGUGCCAGCAGCCGCGGUAAUACGGAGGAUCCAAGCGUUAUCCGGAAUCAUUGGGUUUAAAGGGUCCGUAGGUGGAUAAUUAAGUCAGAGGUGAAAUCCUGCAGCUCAACUGUAGAAUUGCCUUUGAAACUGGUUAUCUUGAAUUAUUGUGAAGUGGUUAGAAUAUGUAGUGUAGCGGUGAAAUGCAUAGAUAUUACAUAGAAUACCAAUUGCGAAGGCAGAUCACUAACAAUAUAUUGACACUGAUGGACGAAAGCGUGGGGAGCGAACAGGAUUAGAU
rnacentral:rRNA from 1 species